UUAAAAUGUGCACAAGAACAGGCCACAAUAUGCAGCUAGCUGAAGUGCUGGAAAACCUGGCAUGCCUUUGAACUUCUACAGGAGUUCCUGCCCCUAGUGGGUAAGUUACCUAUUGCACUGACUUUAUGAAGAUAUCUCUUCCAGUGCCCUUAGUGUGAGCAUCCCCACAAACCUUAUGAACCAGUUGAAUCCAACCUGAAUGCCUCUCCAUAAGCCCGGAGCCCACAAAUGCAUUUUCUCCAGGGCCCUUGGAUGGAGGGAAUCAGGAAGGCCUCCUCCAAACCCAAGGCUAGGAGAGAUGUUCCCUCCGGGGUCCAGGGAGGAGAACAGAAAGGACUGAGAAGAACUAGGAAUGCCCUCCCAAACCCAAGGCCAGCAGGAGGGUCUCCUCCGGAGUUCCACAGAUGGAGGAGGCCUAAAAGAAGAAAUCAAGUCUGCAACCUAAAAGUGGGAGAUCUUGGAUUUUGAUAGCACUUACCCAGAUCCUUUCCCAGCAUAGUCAGGAACAACUGGACUUUUUCAAAGGGACCUUGGCUGUACCUGGUGUCCUGGGUGACACAGGAAAAGGAAUUCAGGGGCUGCUUCAGAAUCCCAUCUUUGCCAGAUACGUUAACUUUAAAAAAAAAAUCAUAAGAUACAAAUUUAGAAAAAUGGAGACACUAUUUCUUAAGGGUGACAGCCUGCCAGGUGGCCAUCCUGCAGGCCAGGAAGCACAGCCUCCUCCAGCAGAAGCCCAGAGACAGGCACCUCCAAGGAGGAGGGGUUGGGGUAGGAGUUUUAUGCUUUUAUGCUGAAUGGGUUGGCUUAACACAUAUUCAACAGGUUACAGGAGGAGCUAUGAAUAUUAAUGAAAGUGGUCCUGAUGCAUGCAUAUUAAACAUGCAUCUUACAUAUGACACAUGUUCACCUCUCUCACACACAUACACAUAUACAUUGUUAUUCCACACACAAGGCAUAAUCCCAGUGUCCAGUGCACAUGCAUACACGCACACAUUCCCUUCCUAGGCCACUGUAUUGCUUUCCUAGGGCAUCUUCUUAUAAGACACCAGUCGUAUAAGGAGCCCACCCCACUCAUCUGAGCUUAUCAACCAAUUACAUUAGGAAAGACUGUAUUUCCUAGUAAGGUCACAUUCAGUAGUACUGAGGGUUGGGACUUCAACACAGCUUUUUGGGGGAUCAUAAUUCAACCCAUGACAGCCACUGAGAUUAUUAUAUCUCCAGAGAAUAAAUGUGUGGAGUUAAAAGGAAGAUACAUGUGGUACAAGGGGUGGUAAGGCAAGGGUAAAAGGGGAGGGAGGGGAUUGAACUAGACACAGACACAUGAGCAGGACUUUGGGGAGUGUGUUUUAUAUCUGUCAGAUGCCUAGAACAGCACCUGAAAUAUGGGACUCAAUCAUUUUAGUCCCCUUCUUUCUAUAAGUGUGUGUGUGCGGAUAUGUGUGCUAGAUGUUCUUGCUGUGUUAGGAGGUGAUAAACAUUUGUCCAUGUUAUAUAGGUGGAAAGGGUCAGACUACUAAAUUGUGAAGACAUCAUCUGUCUGCAUUUAUUGAGAAUGUGAAUAUGAAACAAGCUGCAAGUAUUCUAUAAAUGUUCACUGUUAUUAGAUAUUGUAUGUCUUUGUGUCCUUUUAUUCAUGAAUUCUUGCACAUUAUGAAGAAAGAGUCCAUGUGGUCAGUGUCUUACCCGGUGUAGGGUAAAUGCACCUGAUAGCAAUAACUUAAGCACACCUUUAUAAUGACCCUAUAUGGCAGAUGCUCCUGAAUGUGUGUUUCGAGCUAGAAAAUCCGGGAGUGGCCAAUCGGAGAUUCGUUUCUUAUCUAUAAUAGACAUCUGAGCCCCUGGCCCAUCCCAUGAAACCCAGGCUGUAGAGAGGAUUGAGGCCUUAAGUUUUGGGUUAAAUGACAGUUGCCAGGUGUCGCUCAUUAGGGAAAGGGGU
rnacentral:lncRNA from 1 species